UAAGGAAUAUUGGUCAAUGGACGCAAGUCUGAACCAGCCAUGCCGCGUGAAGGAUGAAGGUCCUCUGGAUUGUAAACUUCUUUUAUCUGGGACGAAAACGGGAUUUUAUCUCAAUUGACGGUACCAGGGGAAUAAGCACCGGCUAACUCCGUGCCAGCAGCCGCGGUAAUACGGAGGGUGCGAGCGUUAUCCGGAUUUACUGGGUUUAAAGGGUGCGUAGGUGGGCUUAUAAGUCAGUGGUGAAAUCUCCGAGCUUAACUUGGAAACUGCCGUUGAUACUAUAGGUCUUGAAUUAUCUGGAGGUAAGCGGAAUAUGUCAUGUAGCGGUGAAAUGCUUAGAUAUGACAUAGAACACCAAUUGCGAAGGCAGCUUACUACAUAUAAAUUGACGCUGAGGCACGAAAGCGUGGGGAUCAAACA
rnacentral:rRNA from 1 species